CCUCGCGCCAUGUUGGUAUAAAUAGCAGUGAGCAGCGCUUCUUCAAUCACUUCCUCCAGAAAACGACUCAGCAGAGACGACAUCAUCUCCGAAACAAACGGUUUAACAUGUGUGUCUCCGGGUGCUGCUUCAUCUCUGAGCUGAUAGCUGAAGUCCACACCAGAGUACCAUCAGCGCCGUGGAGAAAUGACCCUCCAGGCCACCGUAGUGAAGCUGCUGAUCAUGAAGGAUGAUGGGAUGAAAUCAUCGGCAAGCAGAAAUGAUUAACUUCGAUACAGGGUGGAGUCGGUGCUCUCUGUGCUGUAGUCGACCCACUGGAGCUGGCUAAUCCCUGGUAUGUAUAUAUUUUAUCGGGU